AAGAUGGCAGCUUGUACUGACGCUAGAAAGAAAAUCCUUUACUUCACUGCAGUCGGGCUCUGAUUUCUGUCAGACCUGGAUUAGCCUUCCCAUGCACAUGGUCGUACAUUGUGACUCCAUGUUCCUGUUGGAUAAGGUUCUAAAUACAAAACUGGCACUUAUGGGUGAAGAAGGGAAAGGAGACAGAGACAAAGUCAGGGAGUCAAAAUGCCUGUGGCAGAACAGUGGCAACUCUUAGGAUGGCUGUGACACAGGAAGAGUCAAGGAAACACGAGAAGGAAAGCAACGUCCCUGUCUGGGAAUCUGCCUGGAAGUCAAAAACUUCAACUCAGCUGCUGAAAUUGGAACCACCCCUGGAGAUAGCGCUUGUCUCCUUAGAGACAAGCAAGGGUAGUGGUGUUUGCUUAGGACCAGAAGGGGCUGGCAUUUGCUUAGGACGCGGAGGGGCUGCAGUUUAACUGCAUAGCCACUCCUGUCUUACCCCCAACCCCAAAAGAUGUUCCUCAUGAAACCUUGGCAAUUUCAUUUAAUAGAGGAAAUCCUUAAAAAAAAAAAUGUGCCUUAUUUUUAAUCACAUGUAUGUGUAUCUGCUUUCGUGUGCCAGCAAGGCCUGUGCAGGCUGGAGAUGUCAGAUCCCUGCAACGGGAGUUCUGGGCAGUUUGGAGCCACCUGGUGGGGGUGCCAGAAAUACACUCUUUGGCUGCUGCUGCAA